GGUUUCAGAGUGUAGCGGUUAGCAUGUCUGUUUUACACGUAGAAAGUCCUGGGUUCAUGCACCAGUGGAGCCC
rnacentral:tRNA from 1 species